rnacentral:rRNA from 1 species
UACAGAGGGUGCGAGCGUUAAUCGGAAUUACUGGGCGUAAAGCGUGCGUAGACGGUUAUUUAGGUCGGGUGUGAAAGCCCCGGGCUCAACCUGGGAAUUGCAUUCGAGACUGAAUAGCUAGGGUGCGGUAGAGGGAAGUGGAAUUUCCGGUGUAGCGGUGAAAUGCGUAGAUAUCGGAAGGAACAUCAGUGGCGAAAGCGACUUCCUGGACCAGUACCGACGUUCAGGCACGAAAGCGUGGGGAGCAAACAGG